rnacentral:tRNA from 1 species
GUCGGGAUAGCUCANCUGGUAGAGCANAGGACUGAAAAUC